rnacentral:lncRNA from 1 species
CAGAAUCUCUGCUCAUGAAAAAGCUCAAAGAAGCCACCACAGAUACCUGCUGCGUUUGGUUUCAGUUCACUGGCUCAUUCAACUCUGCACUGCAAACCAGAAACCUAAGAAAGAGCUCUUGACUGGGGUCCUCGGUUCAAGUCUCCUCCCCCCAAACUUCUGUUGAUGAGCAUUGUGCUCUUUCCUUCUUCCAAAGACCAACUCAGAUGCUGCUUUCCUCGAUCUUAGAGACAGAGGAGCUACAGAACCAGCGUGCCCAUCUUAUCUUCCAGUUUCUUUCAAGUGGCCAUAACAGCUUCGUGUAUUUAUUACCGCAGAUCACUUAGAGACAGUACAGUAGGUGCUGGUUACUUUACUGUCAGAUCGACACGGCUCCAGGAAGAAAGACCCUCAACUGAGAAUAUGCCCCACUGAAUUGCCUGUAGCCAAGUCUGUUGGGUAUUUUCUUGAUUGAUGAUUGAUGUGGGAAGACCUUCCGGGCAGAGCCACUUCUGGUCAGGCCGUCCUGAAAGCACACUGCUCAAGUCAUGGGGAGCAAACCAUUAAGCAGCAUUCCUUCAUGGCUUCUGCUUCAGUUCCUGCCUCCAGGUUCCUGUCCUGACUUCCCUCAGUGAUGAACUAUGGCUUGGGAUGUAGAAGCCAAAUGAACCCUUUCUUCUCCAAGUUGCCUUUGGUAACGGUGUUUACUGCAGCAAUAGAAAACACAGCAGGAGUUUAGGUUCCAUGCAUCCCACAGACCACAAAGCCACAAAAUGGUAGCCUUGACUAGCAAGUGCUAUUCAAAAUUGCUUAUUGAGUUCAACCAAAUUGAAUUUUUGCCUUGGUUGGCUUGGGUUUGGGCAUGAUAACCUGGAUGUCUGUGCUUCAUUUCUCUUUUAGAGAAAGGAAGUAUUUUAAGCCAGUCAUGUAUUACCUGUAUUACUAGCAUUUGGAGGCUGAGGCAGGGGAAUUGCUAUGAACUUGAAGCCAACCUGGGCUAUAUAACAAGUACCAAGCCAUCCUCGGCUACAGAGUGAGACCCCUAGUUACAAGCAAAUAAGCAACAAACAAAAAAUGUCAAUGACUUUAGGAUGAAAGAGGUCACAUGCUGUUACCAUUUAAUGUAAUUAUUAUUAAUAAGCAUCAACAAAGCAGUAUAAAGUGAUAAAAUUACUUCCUUUGCUUGGUUUUACAGGCAGAGUUGGAAGGCUUGAUAAACUCACUGGCCCCUUCCAUCUUUAAUAUCUAUGAUUCUUUGAAAUCUUAUGUAGACAAGUGCAAGCUAAUGUACACUGGUAGGAACAAUUGAAGCAGCUCAUAUUCGCUGAUGGGCUCUGAAUUACUCUACUUGUAAGUGCUCAGGAAAAAGAUCUCAGAUUCAUUGUGGAUUGCUCAAUGGAGACAUCUGCUCGCCGUGCGGCAGCAGUCAGAAGAAUGAAUGAGAUAUAAUAGGCUGUAUUAACUUUGAGAAUGGAAUAAAGAAGAAUGCAGAAAAUAAUAUAGUGCACAUAAUUUGGCAUUGACUAUUUCUGUAAUUACAAUAAAACAUUUUAAUGA